rnacentral:rRNA from 1 species
GAUGAACGCUAGCGGCAGGCCUAACACAUGCAAGUCGAGGGGUAACAUAGGAAAGCUUGCUUUUCUGAUGACGACCGGCGCACGGGUGCGUAACGCGUAUACAACCUACCUUUUAGCGGGGAAUAGCCCAGGGAAACUUGGAUUAAUGCCCCAUAGUAUAUAGACUUCUCCUGAAGUUUAUAUUAAACAUUUAUGGCUAUUAGAUGGGUAUGCGUCCUAUUAGUUAGUUGGUAAGGUAACGGCUUACCAAGGCAGCGAUAGGUAGGGGUCCUGAGAGGGAGAUCCCCACACUGGUACUGAGACACGGACCAGACUCCUACGGGAGGCAGCAGUGAGGAAUAUUGGACAAUGGGCGAGAGCCUGAUCCAGCCAUGCGCGUGCAGGAAGACUGCCCUAUGGGUUGUAAACUGCUUUUACAGAGGAAGAACCACCCCCACGUGUGGGGGUUUGACGGUACUCUGCGAAUAAGGAUCGGCUAACUCCGUG